CCUACGGGAGGCAGCAGUGAGGAAUAUUGGUCAAUGGGCGGAAGCCUGAACCAGCCAAGUAGCGUGCGGGAUGAAGGCCCUACGGGUCGUAAACCGCUUUUGCACGGGGAUAACACCCUCCACUUGUGGAGGUCUGCAGGUACCGUGCGAAUAAGGGCCGGCUAAUUCCGUGCCAGCAGCCGCGGUAAUACGGAAGGCCCGAGCGUUAUCCGGAUUCAUUGGGCUUAAAGGGAGCGUAGGCGGGCGUUCAAGUCAGCUGUAAAAUCGCGCGGCUCAACCGCGCCCCGCAGUUGAAACUGGACGCAUUGAGUGCACAACAGGCAGGCGGAAUGCGUGGUGUAGCGGUGAAAUGCAUAGAGAUCACGAGGAACCCCGAUUGCGAAGGCAGCCUGCCGGGGUGCGACUGACGCUGAGGCUCGAAGGUGCGGGUAUCAAACAGGAUUAGAUACCCGAGUAGUC
rnacentral:rRNA from 1 species